GAUGAACGCUGGCGGUAUGCUUAACACAUGCAAGUCGUACGAAGAUAAAAUUGUGCUUGCACGAUUUUAUACUUAGUGGCGGACGGGUGAGUAACACGUAAGAAUCUACCUUUUGGCGAGGGACAACCACUGGAAACGGUGGCUAAUACCUCAUAUAACUGAGAAGUGAAAGAUGAAAAUCACCAAGAGAUGAGCUUGCGUCUGAUUAGCUAGUUGGUAAGGUAAAGGCUUACCAAGGCGACGAUCAGUAGCUGGUCUGAGAGGAUGAUCAGCCACACUGGGACUGAGACACGGCCCAGACUCCUACGGGAGGCAGCAGUGAGGAAUUUUCCGCAAUGGGCGAAAGCCUGACGGAGCAAUACCGCGUGAAGGAUUAAGGCCUAUGGGUUGUAAACUUCUUUUCUCAGAGAAGAAUUUUGACGGUAUCUGA
rnacentral:rRNA from 1 species